GCCCCAGGAUGGUCUCAUCUGACACUAUCAAAAGAAUUCAUAUGACUAUAGCUUGCUAUUAAUUACUUGCUUUCAAUAAUGGAUGCAUUUAACAUUUAAUUAUACAGCAUCUUUACAGAGGUGUAAUGUACAAGUUGCACGUAAUUAAUAAUAUUUCCUUCUUUCUGUCUUACAGGAUUUUUUGCAGAUAAUCCUAAUGCUGUUCUUCUUUUUCAGGUCUAAAAUAUCAAGCUCAACAACUCACUCAAGAGCCAACCCUCACAAACCUUCCUAAAAACUAAAAGAGCUAUUACUGAGUCUCAGCGACUCUUGCCACAAUCAGCUCUUCCCAGAAGAGAAGGAAGACCAAGGAAAUGAUUUGCUCAGGAUGAGAAAUGAAGAUGGUCAUCUUGUGCUCAAACAAACAGAAGUCCUCUGAUGAUCUCAUCAGCCAAAUGAGGGGUUUUGACCAAGUGAUGCUCUUGAAAGGAGUGAAAGAAGAGGAUGUCCUAAAUUCUCUUCAGAGAAAAAGCUUCUCAAAAGGUCUUAAAACAGCUUGAAGAAUGGUCUGGGAUCUUAGGACUGAGAGAUCCUCUGGCUGAGGACAAGCUACACCACAUCAGUGCUGGAUAUCAACCACAAACUGUUUCCAGACACGAGAGAAGAAGAACACAAUGGGGAGAUGAAACCAGUUUAGAUGUGAUGAUGGGAAUCAUUAUUUUCUGGAACAGUAUCUCAUGUCUUAUAUGUAUCACAUGAUCUGUAUCACAGUUGACUGGAUGGGACUGUGUGACUUUUAAGGACAUUUCAUCACUCAUCUGUGAGAACUGAUUUAUAUAUGAGGUUAAUGUAUUUUUGAUGAUAAUUAUUUUCAUUGAAUCUUAUUUGUCUUGAUGCUACUUUAUCAUCUUUAUAGUCUAUGCUUCAAUAAAAUGAAU